AUUAUUUGCUUUUACGGCUUUACGCAUGCGGCCAUGCGCGUAGAAGCUCAAGUAUUGUCUGCAGAUAUUUUGUAAAAUUUACACAUGUAUAGCGAUCCGUAAAGAGCUAAACGCUAUAGAGAAGCUACCGAAUGGCUACCCAGAAGCCUGGAGGAUGGGUUCAAUCCUUAAUCAUGCGCUUCGAUUCGCAGCUUCCGAUUCGAACUGGCUUACAUACGGCUCAAUCUAUCCAGAACGUCGAACAAAAUAAGGAAUGUUUGAUAAACGUUAGCAAGUACAAGUUUUCCGUUGUUAUUAAUGGACUUACGAAAACGUUACAAUCCGUUGAUUCGAUGAGAAUUUACGGCCCUGAAGCGGAGAGGAAUUUUUACGAAUCACAAAUUAUUAUUCUUGAUACCUUAGAACAAGUUUUAAAUAGCCAACCGAAAGAUACAACUAGACUAGAUGAAACGAUGUACGUAAAAUUGUUACUGCCGGAAAUUUGCAAGGUGAAUCAUUUAUGUAAGUUCCUGAAUAUAAGUAACGAGAGUCAGCUGGUUCUACAAUUGAAAAAUUUGGCCUCAAAAGUAUUGUUUGCUUUAAGUUUGAAUAAUUUUGGUGCCGUAUUUAAUCGAAUCUCGGCUAGAUUAGCUAAUAUUGCAACAUUAAAUGAGGAGACAACUGACCAUACCGAUUUGGAGUUGAUUCAACACAUAAACGUCGAUUGUGCUAGGCUAACAAAGUUGCUCAAUGAAGUUGUCAACAAGUUUAAAACACUUCGAAAAAAUGUCCAACUGAUUUUAGCACAAAGUUUGGAAAGAUCAAUAUGGAAUUGGAUGGAAAAUUAUCCAGAAGAAUUUACGGAACUGCAACAGCGUCCGUCCGAAGAAUUGGCCGAAUGUUGUGAUAAAUUAUUCGAAUUGUAUAAUACUUUUUGUGAGAGCAGUAUGAAAAGGAAGGCGGUUGUAUGGCCACUUCAAAUGAUGUUGCUCGUUUUAUGUCCGAAAAUCCUAGAAGAGAUUACGAACGCUGAAACUGGCGCUCCUUGUUCACCAAAUCAUGUUAGAAAAAAACAGUACAUAGAGGAGGUGAAGAAAAGUUUAACAAGCGGACAUCACGGUACUCAUAAACAGCUUACCGAAGGUGCCGCUGUUACCUGUGUCAAAUUGUGCAAAGCGUCCACAUAUGUCAACAUUAAAGAUCGUACUAAUGUCCUCUUCCAUUUGGUUCAAUCCGUUUUAUCAGACCUUAAAGUAUUACUAUUCAAUCCUGGUAAACCUUUUUCGAGAGGUCAGAGUUUAGCGAGUCAAGACGUUGAUUUAAUGGUUGAUUGUUUCCUUUCCUGCUUUCGAAUCAACCCGCAUAACAACGACCUUUUAAAGGUUUGUCUACAAACGCACGCCGUACCGACAUUCCAUUUCGUGCUGGUAAACGUUUUGUAUAGAAUUAUCACGCAACCGCGACUUGAGUGGUGGCCUAGUAUCGAGGUGAUCUACGGAAAAGCUUCCGAACUACGAAAUAUGUUUACCGAGACCCUCAACAAAGUAACGCAACAAAUGACUCACGGUCGAGCUGGCAUCUUGCCUUUUUCGCAGACUAUGAAAGACAAGGUCGGAUUCAAGUUCAAGGAAAAGAAUCCAGAUGACGCGCUAAGCUAUCGCUAUUUACUUUUGUGGAUGGUUAGACUGAUAAAUUCGGAUCCUCUACUCAUGCUACACAAUCCUGGGAAGGCUGGACACGAAGUACAAACGAGCACUUUGGAACUAAUAAACGGUUUGGUUUCUCUAGUUCAUCAACAGAACAUGCCUGACGUUGCCCAGGAAGCCAUGGAUGCUCUGCUAUGUUUGCACGAACCGGAAAUCAUCGAAAUUUGGAAUCCGGAGACACCGAUUCAUUCGUUCUGGGAGAUCUCUUCCAGAGUGUUAUUUUCCAUUUCGCAAAAGUUGAUUCAGCAUCAAAUAGUUAACUAUACAGAAAUUUUAAAAUGGCUACAAGAGAUAAUGAUGUGUAGAAAUCAAUUUCUACUAAGAAGAAAGGACUAUGCCAACACCGGCGCUAAUUUACGUAUUUGCAAACAAGCCCAGAUCAAGUUAGAAAUAGUAUUUUUUUUGUAUUUGUGGAGUAUCGAUAUCGAUGCUGUUCUUACUGCAAUGUCCUGCUUUCAUUUAUUAUGCGAGGAAUCAGAUAUUCGCUGUGGUGAUGAUUCAACGCAAACCCUCCCUAACUAUUCAGUGUAUGGAGAAUUGGCAACAUCAUCAACAGUUUUAACAACUGGACGAGCCGUCCUACAAAAGCGAAUUAUGGCUUUAUUGAGAAAAGUUGAUAUACAGACACUUGGAAAUAAACACGCUUGGGAAGAUACUUUUAAUACUUGGGAAUACGCCACAAAAUUAUUAACAAAUUACCCAAAGUCAAUAACAAUGCCAACCAGUUCGAAAACGGAAGAUCCAGCGGCGUCCGUGUCGGAGACACUUCACAGACCCGGAGGCAAGCGUAGGGGAGGUCAACAAAGCACAACCGACCACGAACUGGAGGAUCAACUUAAUGAGUGGGCAAAUAUGACAGGUUUUCUCUGUGCGUUAGGCAGCGUAUGCCUACAAAAGUCAUCCGUUAAUUCUUCCGUUACACCAUUGGUGACAACUUCAUCGAUAGCGACCAUCAACACACCCAAAACGAGACCCGAAAGCACUACAAACAGCCCAAUAGCCUCAUUAACAGAAACUCGCAAAGGGUCUGUUUUACAAGGUUGUACAAAUGAAUUGCAAUAUUGUCCCGUUACGCAAUUUAUUGGCAAUAUUUUAAAGUUGUUAGUUUGUAACAACGAAAAAUUCGGGCCUCAAAUUCAAAAGCAUGUCAAAGAAUUAGUUGGUCACGAAUUGAAUCCGAAAGUAUAUCCGAUUCUUUUCGAUCAAAUAAAGAUGCACGUUGAUAAGUUUUUUGAUUCCCAAAGUCAAGUUAUUGUCAUGGAUACGAAUACUCAAUUCAUCGAGAAUGUAAUUUUUAUAAUGAAGAAUAUUCUGGAAAAUAAAACAGAGCAACCAAAUGAGCAUUUGAGUAUAACAAGCAUAGAAAGUUUGAUGUUAACAAUCGUUCGAUACGUUCGACACCUUGACACAACAAUACAUGCUAUUCAAAUCAAGACAAAACUAUGUCAACUCGUUGAGGCGAUGAUGCACAGACGGGACGAUCUACCAUUUAGGCAGGAGAUGAAAUUUCGUAAUAAAAUGGUAGAGUAUUUAACAGAUUGGAUUAUGGGUAAUAGUCAUCAACUGAACGUUCAAGGCGAUAUCGUCGCUGUUUCAAGGUGCUGUAGAGAAUUAGAUCAAGCUAGCAUGGACGCUGUUGCUGCUUUAUUGAAAGGCUUGCCUCUUCAGCCCGAGGAGAGUGAUAGAGGUGAUUUAAUGGAAGCCAAAUCACAAUUAUUCCUAAAAUACUUUACUCUUUUUAUGAAUCUGUUGAAUGAUUGUUCAGAAGAAGCAGAAGAGAAGGUUACUCCAGAUGGUUCUAGAAAGCGUACUACAUCAAAUUUAAGUACCCUCAGGAACUGUACAAUUGUAGCCAUGUCUAAUUUGUUAAACGCAAAUAUUGAUAGUGGCUUGAUGCAUUCUAUUGGUCUAGGUUAUCAUAGAGAUCCACAGACAAGAGCAGCCUUUAUGGAGGUUCUUACGAAAAUCCUGCAGCAAGGUACUGAGUUUGAGACGUUAGCCGAAACUGCUCUUGCAGAUAGAUUCGAGCGUCUCGUCGAGUUAGUCGCUAUGAUAGGCGACAAGGGUGAAUUGCCCAUAGCAAUGGCUUUGGCAAGCGUUGUAUCAACUCCUCAUAUGGACGAAUUGGCUAGGGUAUUUGUCACGCUCUUCGACGCCAAACACCUUCUUUAUCAGCUACUUUGGAACAUGUUCUCGAAGGAGGUCGAAAUCGCCGACUGCAUGCAAACCUUAUUUCGCGGCAAUAGUCUAGCCAGUAAAUUGAUGGCGUUCUGCUUUAAAGUUUACGGACAAAGCUACUUGCGCGAGCUGUUACAUAAACCGAUUACGGAUAUGUUCGAAAGCGAUAAACAAGGCGUUUCCUAUGAGGUUGAUCCCACACGCUUGGACGAAAAUGAGAACGUAGAAGUAAAUCGCCAAAAUCUAAUGGCCAUAACUCAAACGGUCUUUAAUCUUAUUGUAACAUCCGCAGAGAGAUUCCCCGGUGCAUUAAAAAAACUUUGUCAGUGUUUAUACAUCAGUGUUCAAGCGAAAUUUCCAGAGAAAGCUGUAGACGUUUUAUCUAGUGUUAUAACGCUGCGGUUCUUCAAUAAAUCUAUUGUAUCACCCUGCGAAUCUGGUAUAAUAGAUCAACAACCUACACCAAAAAUCAAAAGAGGACUUACCCUCAUGUGUAAGAUUAUGCAAAACUUAGCCAAUCAUUUGCCGUUUACAAAAGAACAGCAUAUGAGACACUUCAACGAUUUCCUCAGGCAACACUUCGAAGAAGCAAGAAAGUUCUUUGUUGAAAUUUCUUCCGAUUCGGAGAGUGAAAAUUCUGACUCUAGCAAUCAUGGAUUGUCGUUUAUUAGCGAUGCUAAUGUUUUGGCACUACAUCGAUUAUUGUGGAUUAAUCAGGAACGUAUUGGAGAUUAUUUGUCAAGCAGUCGUGAUCAUAAGGCAGUUGGUAGGCGACCUUUUGAUAAAAUGGCAACAUUAUUAGCCUAUUUAGGUCCACCGGACCAUCGGCCAGUGAGUUUUGAUUAUCAAUGGAGUUCGGUGGAUAUGAGCUCUACGAAAUUCGAGGAGAUUAUGAGCAAGCAUCAAAUGCACGAAAAAGACGAAUUUAAAUCGUUGAAAAAUUUAAACAUCUUUUAUCAAGCGGGAACAAGUAAACUAGGAAAUCCCGUUUUCUAUUAUAUUGCAAGAAGAGUUGGAGAUUUAAAUGGUGAUUUGCUAAUCUACCAUGUCCUUUUGACAUUGAAGCCGUUCUACCAUAAGCCAUUCGAAAUUGUUGUUGAUUUUACACAUGCGUGUUCGGAUAAUCGAUUAAGACAAACUGAUUUUCUAUCAAAAUGGUUUGUAGUGAUGCCAGAGGUUGUAUACCAAAAUGUCGUUCAAGCCCUUAUCUAUAACUGCAAUUCUUGGGUAAGGGAAUAUACAAAAUUUCACGAUCGGAUACUAUCGCCUCUGAAGAGUAAUAGAAAAUUAGUUUUUAUCGAUCAUCCAUCGAAAUUAAACGAUUAUAUUGAUACUGAACAACAAAAACUACCUGGAGCUACACUCUCAUUGGAAGAAGAUCUGAAAGUGUUUAAUAAUGCUUUAAAAUUAUCUCAUAAAGAUACAAAAGUUGCUAUAAAAGUUGGCCCGACAGCCAUACAAGUUACUUCAGCUGAAAAGAGUAAGGUUCUAGGACAUUCUGUCUUGUUAAAUGACGUCUAUUACGCGUCGGAAAUCGAGGAGGUUUGCUUGGUCGACGACAAUCAGUUUACUUUGACAAUAUCUAACGAAUCUGGUCCGUUAUCAUUUAUACACAAUGAUUGCGAUGCAAUUGUACAAGCUAUUAUCCAUAUUAGAACGAGAUGGGAACUAUCUCAACCGGAUUCGGUAACAGUUCAUACGAAGAUUAGACCAAAAGAUGUUCCUGGAACUCUUUUAAAUGUGGCUCUUCUAAAUCUAGGCAGUUCUGAUCCUAGUCUAAGAUCGGCGGCGUAUAAUCUUUUAUGCGCUCUAACGCAAACUUUCGACUUAAAAAUUGAAGGUCAAUUGUUGGAGACUACGGGUUUAUGCAUACCAUCGAAUAAUACUAUUUUUAUAAAAAGUAUAAGCGAAAAAUUAGCUGUGAACGAACCGCACUUGACUCUUGAAUUUUUGGAGGAGUGUAUACAAGGCUUCAGAAAUUCAAAUAUUGAAAUGAAGCAUUUAUGCUUGGAGUACAUGACACCGUGGCUUCCAAAUUUGACUAGAUUUUGUAAGCAGUCGGACGAAGCUAAAAGGCAAAAAGUAGCAUUAAUCCUCGAUAAGCUUAUCACCAUGACUAUUGAAGAGGAGGAAAUGUAUCCCUCAAUACAGGCGAAGAUUUGGGGUAAUAUUGGUCAGGUAUCGGAUUUAUUAGAUAUGGUUCUCGAUAGUUUUAUCAAGAGAAGUGUCACGGGAGGUUUAGGUUCGAUUCAAGCUGAGAUAAUGGCUGAUACUGCAGUCGCUUUAGCGUCGGCUAACGUUCAAUUAGUGUCGCGAAAAGUAAUAGGAAGGUUGUGUAGAUUAAUAGAUCGGACAUGUAUGUCGCCCACACCCACGCUAGAACAGCACUUAAUGUGGGAGGAUAUAGCUAUAUUAGCUCGCUAUUUACUCAUGUUAUCAUUCAAUAAUUCAUUGGACGUCGCUAGCCAUUUACCAUUCCUCUUCCAUAUUGUCGUCCUACUCGUUUCUACUGGACCUUUAUCUCUAAGAGCUUCAACUCACGGGCUCGUUAUCAAUAUUAUACAUAGUUUGUGUACAUGCUCUCAACUCUCUACAAUUGGCGAGGACACAAUGAGAAUGUUGAAAUUGUCAUUAACCGAAUUUUCUCUUCCAAAAUUCUACCAACUAUUCGGUAUAAGUAAAGUAAAGAGCGCAGCUGUCAGCGCCUUCAGGUCGAGCUAUAGAACGGGCGACAGAUCGUUCGCCUGUAAUCCGGAUCAAGAUCGAAUGUCCCUGCAGUCAUUAGAAGUAAUUGUUGACGCCCUCCUAGAAAUUAUGGAGGCAGUUAUGAGAGAUGUACCCAAGUGUGAUUGGCUUCAACAAUGGACAGACUUGGCAAAGCGUUUCGCCUUCCAGUAUAAUCCAGCCCUGCAGCCGAGAGCGAUAAUUGUGUAUGGUUGUAUUUCAAAGAUAGUUAACGAUUCGGAGAUGAAGCAGCUAUUGAGAAUAUUAGUUAAGGCCCUAGAGAGUUAUACAGAUUUACAGUUGAUCGAGAGUAUAGUUAUGUGCUUAACACGCCUGCAGCCGCUAUUACGCUCAGAUUCGCCUAUACAUAAACACCUAUUUUGGGUAUCUAUAUCCGUUUUGCAGUUGGAUGAGCAAUCCCUCUACGCGGCCGGUUUGGCCCUAUUAGAACAAAAUUUACAUACGAAUGAUUCGUCGGGCUUAUUUGAUAAUCAGUCGCUUGAGAGCGUAAUGAUGGAGACGCGUGAACCUUUGGAAUGGCAUUUCAAGCAAUUGGAUCAUUCGAUGGGUCUAAGUUUUAAAACUAACUUCAAUUUUGCCCUAGUAGGUCACCUUCUAAAAGGUUUUCGUCACCCAACCCCUAAAACAAUAUCAAGGACUAUUCGGGUAUUGAAUACCUUGUUAGCGAUUGUCACUAAGUCGACGAAGCGGGAUCGCUUCGAGGUGACACCCCAAAGCGUUCCCUAUCUAGCAGCGUUGGUUUCGGUGAGUGAAGAGGUGAGAAGUAGGUGCCAUCUUAAGCACCGUGUUUGUCAUAUGUCGGAAUCAACAUCUAGCGAUAGUAUGAGUGCCGAUAUUCAUCCAUCGCCUUCGGCUAGCCCUCAAGGUCAACUAUCUCCCAGCGCUCCGCCGCAGGGAUCGCCAACCACCUCAUCAACUUGUACGCCUCGCCAAAAAUCAUGGGACAUGUUUGAUCAGAAUAUUGUGCAGGCGGCCACACAGCGGGGGAUUCAUAAAACAGGACAACAUGUUAUCCAGAGUUCUUCAGCUAAAUCGUGGAGGUAUUUUUCGAUAUUACGUAGAUAUAUCCCGAUGCUUUCGAUUUAUCGACUUUCUCGAUUUUCUCGAUUUAUAUAAUAUACUUUCUUUGUCCCGUAUUUUUAAAAUUCUACUGCUUGAUUCCUGCUUCAGAGGCUGCUCUCUCAAAUUGAACAAUUUAUUCAUUUUCUCUUUCUUUCUCCCAAAAAAAAAUCAUAUAGAUCUCUCGACCUGGAUCCUGUUAUAUCGACACGUCCACCGCCGAAAACACAAAGAUCGUCGUCUGUACCAACCCCGUGUAGAGGACACAAACAUCAUGAACUAAAGGAUCAAGGGAAUAGAGGAUCAGUUUCGAACGAGAAUAAUAUUCUAUUGGAUCCGGACAUACUCACCGAUCAUACAACUCAGGCGUUACUCUUAACCGUAUUAGCGACUCUUGUAAGGAAUACGACGGACGAGAAUGAAGCCAGAAUCUUAUACGAAUAUUUGGCCGAAGCGUCUGUUGUUUUUCCUAAAGUAUUUCCAGUUAUACAUUCUCUUCUGGAUGCAAAGAUCAACAACGUUUUAUCUCUUUGCCACGAUCAAGCUAUUUUAAAUUCUGUACAUAAUAUUAUUCAAAAUAUGAUUGCCUGCGAAGAUGCUAACGCUAAUCAGCUAAGUUAUUUACAAAGUUGUGGAUUCGGUGGUUUGUGGAGAUUUGCCGGAAGUUUUGCCAAACAAGCGGGUCUGUCGAAAGAUGAUCGAUUGAAGAUGCACUUCAUUCUACUUCAGCUCUGUUUUCCAAAUAAUAACGAAUACGAAGAAAAUGGGUACGCAGAAUCAAGAUAAUGCUGAAUUGUUUGUAAACUGCCUAGAAGCAAUGGUAGAAAUGUGCCUUCCGGGCGACGAUGUUGAUGUGCAAGAUCCAUAUCCAUCGUUGCUCGACAUCGUAACUCAUCUCAAUUUAUCCUCGUCUAUGUCGUCGCUAAGUAUUGGAUCCGUGCAUUCACCCACCGAUAAGGAUUCGGUUAUUGAUAACGCUUCGGUGGCAAGGCUCCAUCGUUCUAGUCAGCAACCGACCGGCGCAGCAAAAAGGGCUGGAAGUGUAAAAAGAAAAACGAAUAAAAAGUGUUCGACGCCCGACGGCGGACGGUUUCAGUAAAAACGAUCUCAAAACAUAUCUGUCGUUCUAGUCCGUUUGCUUUUAUUCGUUUGGCUGUUUUGAUAUUUUUUAUUGUACGUUCGAUGUUUUCGAUCAUUAAAGCAUUUUCUCGUUCUUUUUCCGAAUGUAUUGAAAAAAAACAACAACAAAACAAAACAUAUAUGAUAACAAUGAUACCUUUAUAAGCGGACGGUUUCCAUUUUGCUUUUUAUUCUUUUACUGUAUAAAUGUAUACCUUUGUAUACUGGAUAUAUUAGGUAUAUACUUAUAGACAGUGUAUAUAUAUACACUUAAUCGUUUUCCUUAAAACUUACAAACAACUAAUCUUUAACAAUCCUAUGUAUUAUAUAUAUAUAUAAACUUUGUAUAUAAAAGAAGAAAACCUACAGAAAUCAAUUGAACAACAAACGUAUUUUAGCUUUGUAAAAUUUUUAUUUAGAUACUCUCUCUCUCUCUCUCUCCCAAUGUAAAUGAGUAAUUUUGAAAAGCUAAAUCGUCCUGACGUAGUAUUAUAUGACAAUAAUCACCAUAAAGUUAUGUUUUACUUAGGCUCAUUGUUUGUAAGAAGCAACCAACGACUAGGAAAUAGUUCACACUGGUAGUACUUUGCCUCUUUUUAUAUAUAUAUAUAUAUAUAUAUGUAUAUAUAGACAAAGAGAGAGAGAAAGAUAAAUAUACAGUUCAUAUGUACAUACAUAAAUAAGUUAUAACAUCACAUUCGCUUAAUAUUAAAACAAGUUUGCAUAUAAUUUACAAGAGCAAGAUUAUAUAAAAUACAAUAAAUCUUCAUUGAGGAAAAAAGGAAUUAAAUAGGUGGAUUUCAUUGCAGAGAAAAGGAGAGAAAAGCAUAAAUUUGCAAUAUUUUAUGAAAAUAUAAAUUGAAUAUUUUAAAAAAAUGAAUAUAGUAAACAAAAAAGUCUAAAACUGUAUUAGUGGAUGCUCUAAUAGGAUUAAUAGAGAGAGAGGGAGAGAGAGAAAGAGAGAGGAAAAGACAGUGAGCGUCAAAAGAAUUAAGAAAGAAAGGAAGAGGAAGAGAGAGAGAGAGAGAGAGAGAGAGAGA
rnacentral:misc_RNA from 1 species